UACGAAGGGGGCUAGCGUUGCUCGGAUUUACUGGGCGUAAAGGGCGCGCAGGCGGCUCAUUUUGUCAGGCGUGAAAGCCCCGGGCUUAACCUGGGAACUGCGUUUGAUACGGAUGGGCUAGAGUUCGGGAGAGGAGAGUGGAAUUCCCAGUGUAGAGGUGAAAUUCGUAGAUAUUGGGAAGAACACCGGUGGCGAAGGCGGCUCUCUGGACCGAGACUGACGCUGAGGCGCGAAAGCGUGGGGAGCAAACAGG
rnacentral:rRNA from 1 species